rnacentral:lncRNA from 1 species
UUUUUUUUUUUGGCCUCCAGGCAUGUAGGAUCUUGGCUCCCCAACCAGGGAUCGAACCUGUACCCACUGCAUUGAAAGGGGGAAGUCUUGACCAUUGGACAUCCAGGGAAGCCCCAGAGAUCCCUGUCCCGUCACUUUCCUGACAGAGGUGCUGUGACAGGCUGCCUUCUCAGAAGUCCAAGAAGAAGCUCAGACUGCUGUUCCUUCUCUCUCAGGUCCAGGGGUCUCCCUGGUAAUGGAUUGCUUCUCUCUGAGGUACAUUUUUUGCCCACAGUUUUUGAGACCACCCAGAUCUAGUCUGUGAACUCAGC